rnacentral:rRNA from 1 species
AGAGUUUGAUCCUGGCUCAGGAUGAACGCUAGCGGUGCGCCUAACACAUGCAAGUCGAGCGCCCUCACUUUGUCUCCGAUGUACUUCGGAGCCAGUGUGAGGGAGCGGCGAACGGGUGAGUAACACGUUGGAACCUACCCCAGACUCAGGGAUAGCCCGCCGAAAGGUGGAUUAAUACCGGAUAGUCUCGUAAGAGUAAAGCUUUUGCGGUCUGGGAGGGGCCUGCGGCCUAUCAGCUUGUUGGUAAGGUAACGGCUUACCAAGGCUAUGACGGGUAACUGGUGUGAGAGCAUGACCAGUCACAAUGGAACUGAGACACGGUCCAUACUCCUACGGGAGGCAGCAGUGAGGAAUCUUCCGCAAUGGGCGAAAGCCUGACGGAGCGACACCGCGUGGAGGACGAAGGCCUUUUGGUUGUAAACUCCUUUUCUGGGGGAAUAAAU